UACGGGGGGGGCAAGCGUUGUUCGGAAUUAUUGGGCGUAAAGGGCUCGUAGGCGGCCAACUAAGUCAGACGUGAAAUCCCUCAGCUUAACUGGGGAACUGCGUCUGAUACUGGAUGGCUUGAGUUUGGGAGAGGGAUGCGGAAUUCCAGGUGUAGCGGUGAAAUGCGUAGAUAUCUGGAGGAACACCGGUGGCGAAGGCGGCAUCCUGGACCAACACUGACACUGAGGAGCGAAAGCCAGGGGAGCAAACGGG
rnacentral:rRNA from 1 species